GGACGAACGCUGGCGGCGUGCUUAACACAUGCAAGUCGAGCGGAAAGGCCCUUCGGGGUACUCGAGCGGCGAACGGGUGAGUAACACGUGAGCAACCUGCCCUGGACUUUGGGAUAACCCUCGGAAACGGGGGCUAAUACCGGAUAUUACCUUUGCCCGCAUGGGUGUUGGUGGAAAGUUUUUCGGUCUGGGAUGGGCUCGCGGACUAUCAGCUUGUUGGUGGGGUGAUGGCCUACCAAGGCGACGACGGUAGCCGGCCUGAGAGGGCGACCGGCCACACUGGGACUGAGACACGGCCCAGACUCCUACGGGAGGCAGCAGUGGGGAAUAUUGCACAAUGGGCGGAAGCCUGAUGCAGCGACGCCGCGUGAGGGAUGACGGCC
rnacentral:rRNA from 1 species